rnacentral:rRNA from 1 species
AUUGAACGCUGGCGGCAGGCCUAACACAUGCAAGUCGAGCGGAGCGGCGGACGGGUGAGGAAUGCCUAGGAAUCUGCCUGGUAGUGGGGGAUAACGUCCGGAAACGGGCGCUAAUACCGCAUCCUAUCAGAUGAGCCUAGGUCGGAUUAGCUAGUUGGUGGGGUAAAGGCCUACCAAGGCGACGAUCCGUAACUGGUCUGAGAGGAUGAGCAGUCAAACUGGAACGGAGACACGGUCCAGACUCCUACGGGAGGCAGCAGUGGGGAAUAUUGGACAAUGGGCGAAAGCCUGAUGCAGCCAUGCCGCGUGUGUGAAGAAGGUCUUCGGAUUGUAAAGCACUUUAAGUUGGGAGGCGUUACCAACAGAAGAAGCACCGGCUAACUUCGUGCCAGCAGCCGCGGUAAUUC